rnacentral:rRNA from 1 species
AUGCUCAGGAAUGCCACAUGGACACUCUCCAACUUCUGCCGUGGGAAACCACAACCAAACUUUGAACAGGUCAAACCGGCUCUCUCAGCACUGCAGCGCCUUAUCCACUCUCAGGAUGAGGAGGUGCUCACUGAUGCCUGCUGGGCUCUCUCGUACCUGUCUGAUGGUACUAAUGACAAAAUCCAAUCGGUGAUUGAGUCUGGUGUUUUUCCUCGCCUUGUGGAGCUUCUCUUGCACCCUUCGGCUUCUGUUCUCAUUCCAGCUCUGCGCACGGUGGGUAACAUUGUCACUGGUGAUGAUUUGCAGACUCAGUGCUGGUUCAUGGAAUGUAUGAUUCUUAGAUGUGUUUUGUUGAAUAGUAGCUCAUUUAUUUAUCUUUGUUGGUCCCUCUCUUUUCAUAAUUUAGAUGAGCUGUUUAACAAUUCCUUUUCCUGGCUACACGAGUACAGCAUGCAUGCGUCUAAGUAG